UUGUUUUUUUGCAUUUUCCAGGCACAAAACCUUGAGUUAUUUUUUGGUAUGUUGUUAAAAAAUUGAACUGUGGGAUGAUGUUCUCAAUUACAAUGAGAAAAGUAUGCUUGAUUACAACAAUGAGCAGUUGCAAGUAUUUAGACAAAAAUAUAUAUGGACUGGAUUCUAGACAAUGACAACGUGUGAAGAGAACAAGUGCUGCAACACUUAGGAUUUUAUAGGUUUUCAAUUAUAUGUUGAUUAGUUGCCUAGAUAUUUACAUUGUAUGAGCCUUGUACAUGUUUUUUGUAAACAAAAGAUUAUGAUUAUAAAUGUUGGGUAAUAUGUACUGAUAA